ensembl:snRNA U6 U6 spliceosomal RNA
GUGCUCGCUUUGGCAGCACAUAAACUAAAAUUGGAAUGAUACGGAGAUUAGCAUGGACCCUGCACAAGAAUGACACGCAAAUUCAUGGAGCAUUCCAUACAUUU